rnacentral:snRNA from 12 species
GUACUUACCUGGCAAGGGACAGACUGAGAUCAAUAACAAAGUCUUUCUUACUGGGCAAGACUUUUCUUUGCAUUCUAGGUAUGCUGACUUGCAUUUCCCCAAAUGUUGAGAAGUUGACUGCAUAAUUUGUUAUGAAUGAUUGUAUUUACACUUCUAA